GCUGGAGUUCUCUACCUACCUGAGGUCUUCUGAAGGAAAACUGAUACCUAAAUAAGGAUUUGGAAAGCUUUUAGGUUCCUGUUCCAAAAAGAAAAAAAGCCAAACCAAACCCCAAGCAACCAAAAACCAAACAAUAAAACCUCCUUAUAAAGAAACACCAGUGCCUAUAGGCUGAAAACUUGUUAUCUUCUUGUCCUUGUACAUAUGUAUGUUCAGACUGUGAUACUGGAUAGCGGGUUGUACCAUUGUUGUGGGCUAAGAAGAACAAGCAAGGUGCAGUGCAACUGGUCAUGAUGUUCUGCUUCCAGGGCUGCAUUCCUCAACAGAAGUGUAAAAUGUAUAUAAAGUCUUCAGAAUGCUUCUUCCAAACUCUAAAUUACCAAAGAAUAAGUUCAUUAUAGGCUUCAUUAUUUCUUCCUUCAACUUUUGUUCCCACCUACUGCAGUUGCUCUCCAGACUUGGAGCUCCUUCCUCAGCCUCCCAAAGAGCUGUUUUCUGUUAUUGGUGUCAUGAACUCUUGCUCCAGUUUCACUGACACCUGUUUCCUCUUGUAUCAAAUACUGCAUUUAGGAUAAGCUAUAGUCUUUCUUUCUGAUCCAGGACCAGUGUGCAGCUCAAACAAAGCAGAGCAAAGUAUCACAGAAUUAAACCAAAAAUACAGUAGUAGUUUAGCAGCUCAGAUGGCAUUCUGCCCCAGCAAUAUCUGUAGGCUUUGCUUAAACAGAUGUGAAGCUGUGUUUUCUCAGACUAACCUCUGGUCUAUUGAAACAGAUUUGAAGUUGUUAGGCCUUUCUUGAGGGUUUCUAGUGAUCUGGUGUUCUUGGCAGUGCCUCAUCUAAGUUUCUAGGGAUGUGGACAGCUAGGGUAAAUUUCUUCACAGGAAUAUGUUGGUGUUAUUGGGCUCACCAUGCAAGCACCAUGUUAUGCUUAUUUCAUAGUGUUAUUUAUACACAGCUUAGGCAUAGAUACUCUUGUGAUUCACACAGAAAUGUGGGAACUUUGCCUCAGUGAAGUGGUUUGCAAUACAAUGCCUACUUAUUUAUCACCUUAAAGUUUUAGACAUUUUUCUGGUAAACCUGACUUUUCUCUAAUAUUACAGAAAUUAAAACAUUCUUGAUUGACUGUACUGUACAGUAAACUCAACCAAGAAAACAAGUGCUUUAUUUUAAAAGUAAUAUUUCAGAGGGAAAGUUGUUUUCUGUUUUUUCCCCUAAGAGGGGAUAAAAGGCACCAUUGUUAUCCACCACCCAAGUUUUUACCAAUUACCAAUCCCUUCAGCCAUUCUGUUUCACUUUCAGUUUGGGGUCUACUUGAGACUCUUGUUAGUUCGAAGUACAAGUUAAAGAAAGAUGUUCAAGGAAGUAAAGCAGAUUUAGGGGAACUUCUGUGUGCUUGACACUUCUUCUAAGCAUUUUAGUCAAUAAUCAUCAACUGAGAUGUACCACAUAAAGUGGAAAUCUUGCAGGAAGAGCACUUGUGGUUACUCCUCUGGAAAACAAACAAAUAUGAGCAUUAUUUACCUACAGGGAUUAAAUAUCAUCACAUUAUGCUAUGGGCUAAAAGAUAAUUUCAAAACGGGAAACAUUAAUUUUUUAAUUUUUCAGUGUUCUAAACCUCAGUGUUAAAUGAAUAUUGACUGGUCAGUCAAAACAUGUUCAACUUCCCUUCAAUAUACUGUCUCUACACUGAAGUGAGCUAUUUCAGAUGGCUGAAAAAUUAUUGCUUAAUACCUUUAAACACUGUCAGAAAUCAAUAACUUUGAAAUCUGUGCAAUUUGUACACUAAGUUUGGCGUACCACUUCAAUUCAGUCUGUUUAGAAUUGAAUGUAAGUGGUUCGAACAGUUGUCAAAAGUACAAAUGUCAAAUACUAUUUUUUAUUUUAGAAAUAAUAGAUUGGAUAUUUUAGAGGUAGUAUUACUUUGAUAUAUGAAAUAUUAACAGAACUUUUAUUGAAGAUCUGAAUAAAGUACGAAUU
ensembl:lncRNA